rnacentral:rRNA from 1 species
GACGAACGCUGGCGGCGUGCUUAACACAUGCAAGUCGAACGCAGUGGCGAACGGGUGAGUAACGCGGAAUCAACCUGCCCUUCCGAGCGGGACAACAGUUUGAAACGACUGCUCAUACCGCAUACUGAAGGAGGGGAUUGCGUCGUAUUAGCUGGUUGGAGGGGUAACGGCCCACCAAGGCGAGGAUCAGUAGCCGGUCUGAGAGGAUGAUCGGCCACACUGGGACUGAGACACGGCCCAGACUCCUACGUGAGGCAGCAGUGGGGAAUUUUGGACAAUGGGCGCAAGCCUGAUCCAGCCAUGCCGCGGGUCUGAAGAAGGCCUUCGGGUUGUAAAGGACUUUUGUCAGGGAAGCGGUACCUGAAGAGUAAGCACCGGCUAACUACGUGCCAGCAGCCGCGGUAAUUC